rfam:Schistosoma haematobium scaffold2447_3, whole genome shotgun sequence.
AUCAUUAAUCCAUUCAAAGAUAGACCGUGGUCAGUUUUUCUAGGCAAAAGACCUUCGAUAUAGGCUCUUCCAAUCACUGUGAAGCAGAAUUCACCAAGUGUUGGUUUGUUCACCCACUAAUUGGGAACAUGAGCUGGGCUGACCGUCAUGAGACAGGUUAGUUUUACCUUAAUAAUGAGUACAUCAAUGAAGUACAGUCUGUCCGUUGCUACGGUAAUCCUGUUUAGUAUGAGAGGAACCGCAGGUUCAGAUAAUUGGUAUAUCUACCUGGUCGAAAGGUCAAUAGCGCGAAGCUACCAUCUGAGGGAUCAAGACCGAACACCUCUAAGUCUGAAUGCCGUCCAUAUUUGCAAAGGUGCACAUAUCCGGAAAGCUCAGAGAAAAUAUGAAAUGCAGUUAGCACAAUCUGCAAUCAAGCAGCCUAAGAGACUAUUCUCGUACAUAAAUUAAAGAACAAGGAUUAAGGAUUGGAUUCUCAACCCAAUAAAGUAAGAGAGUGAAUAUGAAAUGAUAAAGGAUAUUGGGGUGAUGUGAGUCAUGACCUUAAGAUCAUGGCCCACUGCCUGGAGGUUGCAGCUAC